rnacentral:rRNA from 1 species
UACAGAGGGUGCGAGCGUUAAUCGGAAUUACUGGGCGUAAAGCGCACGUAGGUGGCGACGUAAGUCGGGUGUGAAAGCCCCGGGCUCAACCUGGGAAUUGCAUUCGAGACUGCAUUGCUGGAGUACGGAAGAGGAGGGCGGAAUUCCCGGUGUAGCAGUGAAAUGCGUAGAUAUCAGGAGGAACACCGGUGGCGAAGGCGCACAUCUGGCCCGAUACUGACGCUGAAGCGCGAAAGCUAGGGGAGCAAACGGG